ACUCCUACGGGAGGCAGCAGUAGGGAAUCUUCCACAAUGGGCGCAAGCCUGAUGGAGCAACACCGCGUGAGUGAAGAAGGGUUUCGGCUCGUAAAGCUCUGUUGUUAAAGAAGAACACGUAUGAGAGUAACUGUUCAUACGUUGACGGUAUUUAACCAGAAAGUCACGGCUAACUACGUGCCAGCAGCCGCGGUAAUACGUAGGUGGCAAGCGUUAUCCGGAUUUAUUGGGCGUAAAGAGAGUGCAGGCGGUUUUCUAAGUCUGAUGUGAAAGCCUUCGGCUUAACCGGAGAAGUGCAUCGGAAACUGGAUAACUUGAGUGCAGAAGAGGGUAGUGGAACUCCAUGUGUAGCGGUGGAAUGCGUAGAUAUAUGGAAGAACACCAGUGGCGAAGGCGGCUACCCGGUCUGCAACUGACGCUGAGACUCGAAAGCAUGGGUAGCGAACAGGAUUAGAUACCCUGGUAGGAUAGCG
rnacentral:rRNA from 1 species